rnacentral:rRNA from 1 species
AGAGUUUGAUCCUGGCUCAGGAUGAACGCUGGCGGCGUGGAGAAGGCAUGCAAGUCGCACGGUCCCGACGCAAGUCGGGAUAGUGGCAAACGAGAUAGUAAUACAUAGAUUAUCUACCCUCGUCACGGGGAUAACCCGGCGAAAGCCGGACUAAUAACCGAUGGCCUCGUUUCGCAAGAUAAUGAGUAAAGGCGCAAGCCGGACAAGGAGGAGUCUGUGCAAUAUCAGCUAGUUGGUAAGGUAAUGGCUUACCAAGGCUAUGACGUUUAGGGGGGGUGAGAGCCCGAUCCCCAUCGAUGGCACUGCGACACGGGCCAUACACCUACGGGUGGCAGCAGUCGAGAGUCUUCCACAAUGGGCGAAAGCCUGAUGGAGCGACGCCGCGUGAAUGAUGAAGGGCUUCGGCCUGUAAUAUUCUUUUCUCCGUGAGAAAUCCGAGUCAAAUCGGUAUGAUGUUAGCGGAGGAAUAAGGGGUUGCUAAACUCGUGCCAGCAGCCGCGGUAA